CCUACGGGAGGCAGCAGUGAGGAAUAUUGGUCAAUGGACGCAAGUCUGAACCAGCCAAGCAGCGUGCAGGAAGACGGCCCUAUGAGUUGUAAACUGCUUUUGUAAGAGGGUAAACGGAGGUACGCGUGCCUGUCUGAAAGUACCGUACGAAUAAGGAUCGGCUAACUCCGUGCCAGCAGCCGCGGUAAUACGGAGGAUUCGAGCGUUAUCCGGAUUUAUUGGGUUUAAAGGGUGCGUAGCCGGGUGGAUAAGUUAGUUGUGAAAUCCCGCGGCUCAACUUCUGAAUUGCAUUUGAUACUGGUCGCCUUGAGCGUAGUUGCGGUAGGCGGAAUUUCUGGUGUAGCGGUGAAAUGCUU
rnacentral:rRNA from 1 species